ensembl:piRNA 21ur-12764 ncRNA
UUUCAGAUGUGGAUCAAACGC